rnacentral:misc_RNA from 1 species
GACGAACCGUGCGAACGUUGUUCGGAAUCACUGGGCUUAAAGGGCGCGUAGGCGGAUGGUCAAGUCAGGGGUGAAAUCCUCCCGCUCAACGGGAGAAGUGCCCCUGAUACUGUCCAUCUCGAGGGAGGUAGGGGCAUGUGGAACUUCCGGUGGAGCGGUGAAAUGCGUAGAGAUCGGAAGGAACGCCGGUGGCGAAAGCGACGUGCUGGACCUCUACUGACGCUGAGGCGCGAAAGCCAGGGGAGCAAACGGG